rnacentral:rRNA from 1 species
AUGGCUGCCACCAUGAAGCUGACAAUCACCUUCCUCCUCCUCGUCUCCGGGCUGGUGGUGUUCGGCGACGCCAAGAAGGCGCCGUGCGCCGUGGUGUGCGUCCAGGGAGGGCACAUCACCUGCGACAACUACCCCGGGCAGAAGCUCGACGGGUGCGACUGCCAGUGCGCGCCCAAGGACGGCAAGGGCUGCGUGCUCCACCUCAACAGCGGCUCCACCAACCAGUGCACCACCACGCCGGAGUACUGA